rnacentral:rRNA from 1 species
UACAGAGGGGGCAAGCGUUGUUCGGAAUUACUGGGCGUAAAGGGCGCGUAGGCGGCCUUCUAAGUCGAACGUGAAAUCCCCGGGCUCAACCCGGGAACUGCGUCCGAUACUGGAAGGCUUGAAUCCGGGAGAGGGAUGCGGAAUUCCAGGUGUAGCGGUGAAAUGCGUAGAUAUCUGGAGGAACACCGGUGGCGAAGGCGGCAUCCUGGACCGGCAUUGACGCUGAGGAGCGAAAGCCGGGGAGCAAAGCGGGGAUUA